rnacentral:tRNA from 1 species
GCCCCAAUAGCUCAGCGGCAGAGCGCUUGCAUGGUAAGCAAGAGGCCGGGGGUUCAAAUCCCCCUUGGGGCU